GGAGGGAUCAUUAGUGAGUUUACGCUCUAUAACCCUUUGUGAACAUACCUAUAACUGUUGCUUCGGCGGGUAGGGUCUCCGUGACCCUCCCGGCCUCCCGCCCCCGGGCGGGUCGGCGCCCGCCGGAGGAUAACCAAACUCUGAUUUAACGACGUUUCUUCUGAGUGGUACAAGCAAAUAAUCAAAACUUUUAACAACGGAUCUCUUGGUUCUGGCAUCGAUGAAGAACGCAGCGAAAUGCGAUAAGUAAUGUGAAUUGCAGAAUUCAGUGAAUCAUCGAAUCUUUGAACGCACAUUGCGCCCGCCAGCAUUCUGGCGGGCAUGCCUGUUCGAGCGUCAUUUCAACCCUCAAGCUCUGCUUGGUGUUGGGGCCCUACAGCUGAUGUAGGCCCUCAAAGGUAGUGGCGGACCCUCCCGGAGCCUCCUUUGCGUAGUAACUUUACGUCUCGCACUGGGAUCCGGAGGGACUCUUGCCGUAAAACCCCCCAAUUUUCCAAAGGUUGACCUCGGAUCAGGUAGGAAUACCCGCUGAACUUAAGCAUAU
rnacentral:rRNA from 1 species